rnacentral:rRNA from 2 species
CUAAGAAUAUUCCGCAAUGGGCGAAAGCCUGACCCAGCAACGCCGCGUGAAGGAAGAAGGUUUUCGGAUUGUAAACUUCUGUCCUCAGGGUAGAAGGAAGUGACGGUACCUGAGGAGGAAGCCCCGGCUAACUACGUGCCAGCAGCCGCGGUAAUACGUAGGGGGCGAGCGUUGUCCGGAAUGACUGGGCGUAAAGGGCGCGUAGACGGCUGUUUAAGUCUGGAGUGAAAGUCCUGCUUUCAAGGUGGGAAUUGCUUUGGAGACUGAAUGGCUUGAGUGCGGAAGAGGUAAGUGGAAUUCCCAGUGUAGCGGUGAAAUGCGUAGAGAUUGGGAGGAACACCAGUGGCGAAGGCGACUUACUGGGCCGUAACUGACGUUGAUGCGCGAAAGCGUGGGGAGCGAACAGG